AGGUCUGUGUUCGUAAGCAGUCCGCUUACAAAAAAAAAUAAAAUAAUAAUUCUCUAGUACAGAACGCAGAUGUCGUUUCAAAGCGAACAAAAGUUCUGCUUACCCAGUCAAACUUCUGCAGAAACUGACCGUUAUUACUACCAAUAACUGUUCUAUGCGAGGUGAACACAGAAGAAAUUCUACAGAAAGCAUGAAUCCUUUGUUGGAGGGCUUCCGAGAGGAAGCUUUGUGGUGAAAGGUGUCUCCUUUUGAGAAGUCUUUUACUUUCCAUCAACAAGGAAUGUAUAAAUAAAUGAGUACAUCAGCAGUAAAGUGCCUGUGAUACCACUACGGACAAGAUAACACAGAUUGUUUGAAAUGGUUUAACUGUACUUAGUGUUGACCCAUGGAUCCACCAGUGCAGGAGAGCAAUCAAAUUGAAAAAUCUGAGGCAGCACGUGAGGAUACCAAAAAUUAUGUGGGGUGCAGUGAUAGCAUUGCGGUAUGUUAACACAUUAACUUACAGAAAGUCUAGCCCAUAACAGAAUUUGUUGGGGGAGAAGCCAUGUAGUCAACUCCAUCUAGUUUGGAUUGAGACUUAACUGAAUUGAAUUAAGCAGUGAUAGCAUGCUGUUUGGAAAAUAAUGGUGUUUGCUCCAUGGCAACAACCAUUAGAAUUAAGCAAAGCUCGGGUUUUUACACUUUCAGAUUUUGAUAAACUGUUUGAGGUAGAAUGUGAUGCCUGUGGUGUCGGGAUUGGUGGAGUUUUAUCCUAAGAGCAGAGACCCACGGCAUUUUUUAAUAAGAAGUUGAGUGAUGCUAAAUUAAAGUGGUCCAUAUACAAUAAAGAGUUCUAUGUUGUUUUUUGAAUUCUUAAGAAGUGGGAGCGUUAUUUGAUUGGUAAGGAGUUUGUGUUGUAUUCUGACCAUGAGGUGUUGAAAUUUUUACAUAAUCGAAGGAGAAUAAGUAAUAACAUACAUGCAAUCACUUAUUUACAACGGUUUCCAAUUAGAAUUGUAUACAAGGUUGAAGUUCAGAAUAGAGUUGUUGAUGUUUUGAAUAGAAGAGUAACAUUGUUGAUUACUCUAAGAAGAGAGACCAUUGGAUUAAGACUAUUCGGACUUUUUAUAAAACACUAUAGAGUUUUUUCUAAAUUUUUCUAUAGCUUAGGUUUGUAACUUUAAGGCUUGAGAAUCUUAGUUUUAUCCACACUAUAAAUUGAUAUCAUAAUAGAGUUGCUGAUGUUUUGAGUAGAAGAACAACCUUGCUGGUUAUUCUAAUGGGAGAGAUCAUCAGAUUCAGACUAUUCAGACUUUUAAUAAAACACUAGAGAGUUUUCUCUAUAUUCUUUUACAAUUUAGGUCUGUAAUCUUAGAGUUUGAGAACUCUAGCUUUUAUCCACGCUCUACGCCGCAUCAUUUUAGACCUCAUUCAACUACAACGGUAUAUUGUUAACAUAAUUAUUGGCUGAUUUAAUGAUUCUAAUCUUAUCAAUAUUGGUCGGGUAAUUUGAGCUCAGAAUUUAUCUAGGUGGGUGACAUACAAUGUACAAAUGUAGCAGAUUCUUUACCAGGAUAGUUUGGUUAGUUUAUCCUGACAAGACAUCAACCUAUGAGGAAGAAGUUAGGGAAUAACUUCAUUCAGUUCUAUUUUCUUCAAUUAAUUGGUUUUAUAAUAUAGACUUCAGAAAUUUGAAAUAUGAAAUGACUUUGGGCUUGUAUAAGUUAAAAUUUCAAAUUAUAAUCAAUCAAACAUGUGAUGCAUAAAUAGAAAUUCGAUAUUCUAUCAUAUCCAUAUGAUUCACUAGGACAUGUGGUGGAGACACCAGACCCACACUGCAAAUUACACGAGUUUAUGGACGAGAACGACGUAGGAUGACCUAACUUGUCACUCUUUGGUUGGGAGACUGAGCUUAUUUCAUUGUUUUGUUUUAUUUAUUUGGGUUAUUUAUGUUAGAUAGUUUUAAUUGAUAGGCUGAGACCAAUAGUUAGAUGUUUUAAGGUUAUGUUAUUUAUAUGUUUUUCUUUCAGUUUGUAAGACAAUUUUUGAUGAAUUGAAUAAAAAUUACGGAGUUGCAGACUUUUCCAA